rnacentral:rRNA from 1 species
UACGUAGGGUGCAAGCGUUGUCCGGAAUUAUUGGGCGUAAAGAGCUCGUAGGCGGUUUGUCGCGUCUGCUGUGAAAACUCGGGGCUUAACCCCGGGCCUGCAGUGGGUACGGGCAGACUAGAGUGCGGUAGGGGAGACUGGAAUUCCUGGUGUAGCGGUGAAAUGCGCAGAUAUCAGGAGGAACACCGAUGGCGAAGGCAGCUCGCUGGGACGGUACUGACGCUGAGACGCGAAAGCGUGGGGAGCAAACAGG